rfam:Gossypium hirsutum cultivar TM-1 chromosome 26, whole genome shotgun sequence
GGAGGUUGCAAUGAGGAUUCAGAGCUCCCUCUUCUGAUAUUGUUGAAGAAAUUAGCUGGCAGAAUCGAACCUAUAACUUUUUCGCCACCACUGAGCAA